rnacentral:lncRNA from 1 species
UGGCGCCGGGCCGAUGGAGACGGCGGAGGACGGAGGAGCUGCCAGCGGCAGGGGACGCGAAACGGGUGUGCAGGAGGUCAGAAGCAGGUGGACUUGAGUGCAGUGGCCACCUACUAACCACCUGUGCCCUGCUGUCCUGGAGCACAGAGGACCAGGAGCCAAGGCCACUCGUCCUGCCUGCACCACAACCAGAGUGUAGCCAGGAGAGGCUGAGCUCAAUGAUUCUGCAGAACGGUGGAAGGGGUUCAGCCCAGCCUUGCCUGAGAUGUAUCGCGGGGGAAUCUGUAAGUGUCACCUCACUGAGGCACGAGUGAGAGAGUUCUUAAACAUCACAUCUGCAAAGCAGUCAAUAAGAUCUGUAAUUACAUACAUGAGAAAUGGCACAUGUAAAUAAAGCUAAAGGGCCAUUUUAACCAUACCAGCAAUCAUUAGAAGAUGCAAACGGGACAAAGGAAGAUUCCAGUUGAGUUUGAAUCCUCACAUGAUGGCCAGUGCACAUCCCGUACAUCUUGCUUGGAUGCCCACCUAUUCAAAUGAUAGUCAGGGCUCCCUGCAGAGGUUGUCUGCCUCUCAGGUAAUCCCACUGUCCUCUGCAGAAGGCCAGGAACAUUCUGAGUGGGGUGGCUCACCGCAGCCUCUUUUCUAAUGUCUUCUGCUGGACAAGAAAUUAUCUAGAAGUCAGAAAAUUCUGUAUCAAACUGCCUUGGGCCUCAUAGCUCAUGUAAUCAUUAGGCUCAGCCGAGAUCUCCCUGCCUGUGGACUUUGGGUUGUUUCUGGACAUUACUGGGCUGCUUAUAUACUCUUUUUAAUUAAAAGACUUAUUUUUGUAUUUUAAAUGCUCUAUAAUGUUGAAGUGAAUGUUACUAAAUGCUGAUGCCCAAUCAAACUAUGUAAUUCUCCAAUUGAAGUUAUCAGGGACAGAGCCCCAUUUAUAUUAAAAUGGAAAUUAUGG